UCUCUCUCUUACUCACUCACGUGUGUUUUUUCAAGAACCCUAAUUAGGGUUUGGAUGAGGAAUAUGAAGAUCUUUCUUGAACUGCAUAUGGUUCUUGAUCUGAUCUUACUCAUUUCGAAUUCAAUUUUUGUGGUUCAAUAAAGCUGUGGGAAGACAGAGAAAGGAUCAACACAAAAAGAGCAUAAAUAAAUCACUCAAAUUCUGGAUCAGAUCUGAUCUACUUCCCAUUUUUAUGGUAUAUUUUCGAUUUUCACUUAUUCUCAAUUUUGUGGUGGUUUUAGAUCUUUAUUUUUCUAGUUUUAUUUAAUUGAUGUUUUAAAAAUUCACACUCACACGCACACACAUACUUCGUUACUUUUUUCCGUUGGUGAUACUCAUUUGUUUUGUAGGGAUAAAAGUUUUACAACUUCUAGUUUGUAAUUAUACAUAUUGUUUCCAUGAAUCAGAAAAACUUGAUAUGACAUGAUCUAGUUAUCUCUGUAUAAUUGUUCAUAUAAUUUUGUAGAAAGUUAACUUGGAUGCCACAGCCUCUAUGUUGUGAGAAGUUACAACUAUUGUAAAUAUAAGCUAUGUAUUUUUAUCAUUUAACUAUAAACAAAUUUACAUUCUCAUCAUCCUCUAUGAAAAAGAUAAAAGCAAUAUUAGAAAUCUAUUGGCAUGAUUUGAUAAUGCUGGUCAAACUGUAUUUUUGGAUGCUUAUGAGUAUGUGAGUUUUUGGUUAUUUUGAAUUGUAACUCUAUACUCACAUGUUUAUGGAGCAUGAAUGAAAUUUAUAUAGACCCAAGAUUGAGUUCUUAGGAGGGUACUAGCUAGAAUGUAGAUGGACCACAAGGUAUGAGUCAUACUUUUGUCAUAUAGAACCUCUCAAACAAAUUAGGAAACUAUGUUUAAAGCCAAAUAUACUGUGAUUAGCAGGGACAUCAUGUUAUAGCAAUCACAUUGUUAACUUUUCUGUUUUUUCUAGAAUUAUUUAUGUAUAUGCUUGUAUUAUCUUUAACAUCCAAAUAUGUGAUGGGAGUUUGGUCUCAUCUUUCUUGAGUAAGAUUUUGUAAUGAUACAUGCUUUAGUAAUUCAUGUCUCAUUACUGAUGCUACAUGACAAUUAUAAUCUGUAACCAGUCCAGGUCUAUGUAACCAUGGGUGAAAAAAAUCAUAUCCAAGAUAUCCAAGUUUAUUAUAUCUUUCUACAAGUACAACUCUUGUGCUACAGCCACAUGGGUGGCAUUCAUUCUAAAAUGUCCCAAGUAUUUUUCACUUGGGUUGCUAUUUUUCCAAGAUAGUUAAAGAAACUGAACAAUAUGAUGACAUGUACUGACAGUAUUAUUUUAAUGAACUUGAUGUGUAAAAUGUACAGCAAGCUGAUUCAGUGGCGGAUCUAGGAUUCACGCCAAGCCGUAACGUUUUAUAAAUAAGCCGUAACGAAAUCGAAACAUGAGGGGCAUUAACAUAUAAUGGUGAAAGCAGUAUAUUAUCUGGCUAAUUUUAUUGUUACAAAUGAUAAAUAAAUAGCUGAACAGAGGAUUUCAAAAUAAAAGAAUAUAUUGAUAACACUUUUUUAGUUCUUGGCCAUAUAAACUUAAAAUUAUA
rnacentral:lncRNA from 1 species